UGGCACUGGUGUGGGGUUGCCCCGAGUAGCGUGGAACUCGUGGAAUUUCGCGUGAAUCUGGCGGGACCACCCGUCAAGCCUAAAUACUCCUUGGUGACCGAUAGUGGAUGAGUACCGUGAGGGAAGGGUGAAAAGUACCCCGGGAGGGGAGUGAAAGAGUUCCUGAAACCGGUCGCAUGCAAGCCGUCAGAGCCUGUGUGGUGAUGGCGUGCCUUUUGAAGAAUGAGCCUGCGAGUUAGUGAUGCGUGGCG
rnacentral:rRNA from 1 species